rnacentral:rRNA from 1 species
UACGGAGGGGGCUAGCGUUGUUCGGAAUUACUGGGCGUAAAGCGCACGUAGGCGGCUUUGUAAGUUAGAGGUGAAAGCCCGGGGCUUAACCCUGGAAUUGCCUUUAAGACUGCAUCGCUAGAAUCGUGGAGAGGUGAGUGGAAUUCCGAGUGCAGAGGUGAAAUUCGCAGAUAUUCGGAAGAACGACCAGUGGCGAAGGCGACUCACUGGACACGGUAUUGACGCUGAGGUGCGAAAGCGUGGGGAGCAACAGG